rnacentral:rRNA from 1 species
CCUACGGGAGGCAGCAGUGAGGGAUAUUGGUCAAUGGGGGAAACCCUGAACCAGCAACGCCGCGUGAGGGAUGACGGUUUUCUGAUUGUAAACCUCUGUUUUUAGGGAAGAUAAUGACGGUAGCUGAGGAGUAAGCUCCGGCUAACUACGUGCCAGCAGCCGCGGUAAUACGCAGGGAGCAAGCGUUAUCCGGAGUCACUGGGCGUAAAGGGGGCGUAGGCGGCUUUGCAAGUCAGAUGUGAAAUCCUUGGGCUUAACCCUAGAACUGCAUUUGAAACUGUAAGUCUUGAGUAAGGUAGAGGUAGGUGGAAUUCCUGGUGUAGCGGUAAAAUGCGUAGAUAUUAAGAGGAACACCAAUGGCGAAGGCGGCUUACUGGACUGUAACUGACGUUGAGGCUCGAAAGCGUGGGGAGCAAACAGGAUUAGAUACCCUUGUAGUC